CAAGAAUUGCUUAACUAUUCUUGGCCCUUUGUGGUUUCAUGUAAAUUUAGUACCAGAUUUUCAUUUUGGGUGUGUGAAUCCCGAAUAUCUGGGACAGAGCUCAGUUAAUUUAGAAAGUUUAUUUUGCCGAUGUUGAGGACAGACGCUCAUGACACAGCCUCAGAAGACAGAGUCUUGCUCUGUUGCCAGAUUGGAGUGAAGUGGCGCGAUCUCAGCUCACUGCACCCUCUGACUCCCUGAUUCAAGUGAUGCUCCUGCCUCAGACUCCCAAGUAUUUCCUAUAUCUUCCUGUCUUUUCCAUGGCCAAAAAUGAUCAAGUAAAGAACAUUAAAGAAGAAAUAAAUUACUACAUAUUAAAAAAUACAUACUGUAAGAUGUUCUUUGUACAAAAAUGUGACAACUUCAAUAAGAGUAACUUGGACAACCUGAGGCAUUAAUUGAGGAUCAAUAUGAUGACUUUACAUUGAGAAUCACAUAUACCCUCUGAAUAAAUUUAAAAAAUGAAAUUUUUUAAUUUUCAUUAAAAAUUAAAUUUUUUUGAGUGAUGAAAAUACUCAAUCACAUUAUUUUCAAAUUGUUGAUAAGCAUGGAAAUUAUCAGAGAACCAGAAUAUUCAAGGUUUAUCUUUCCUGUUUUUGUCUUAAAUCACAACUAUGUGUUAAAUAAUUUGUAUGACCUAUUUCAGUGGCAGUAGGUUAAAUAAAAUUCUGUUUGUAUCUCCUGUUUUUUGUUUUAAAUUUAUUAUUAUUAUGCUUUAAGUUUUAGGGUACAUGUGCACAAUGUGCAGCUUAGUUACAUAUGUAUACAUGUACCAUGCUGGUGCGCUGCACCCACUAACUUGUCACACACGUAAUGUAUCUCCUGUUUUUGUGCUUCUCAAAUUGAAGUCACUGAAUCCUCAAGAAUUCAU
rnacentral:lncRNA from 10 species